AACCCGGUGUUUCUAAACACCACCCUAUAUUCUAAAAUCGGCGGUCG
rfam:Emiliania huxleyi CCMP1516 EMIHTscaffold_101_Cont3392, whole genome shotgun sequence.